CCGGUCUGAUCGCUGAUAGCGGACGGUAGCCUCCCCCACUGUCGGGGGAGGUUCGCUGUUGCUCCCUGUUCAGGUCAGGGCAGGCUGGGC
rnacentral:tRNA from 1 species